rnacentral:lncRNA from 10 species
CCCGGAAAUUAUCUCCCAAGGCGGAAGUAAACGGCGCGCGACGAGACAGGGUUUCACCGUGUUGGCCAGGAUGGUCUCAACCUCCUGACCUCGUGAUCCGCCUGCCUCCGCCUCCCAAAGUGCUGAGAUUGCAGGCGUGAGCCACCGCCCCCGGCCCAAACAUUUUUUUUUUUUUUUUUUUUUUUUUUUUGAGAUGGAGUCUCCCUCUGUUGCCCAGGCUGGAGUGCAAUGGCAUGAUCUCGGCUCACUGCAACCUCCACCUCCUGGGUUCAAGUGAUUCUCCUGCCUCAGCCUCCCGAGUAACUGGGACUACAGGCGCGCAGGCCACCACCCCUGGCUAAUUUUUGUAUUUUUAGUAGAGACAGGUUUCCACCAUGUUGGCCAGGUGGUCUGCCCACUUUGGCCUCCCAAAGUGCUGGGAUUACAUAUGUGAGCCACCAUGCCCGGCCUCAACUUUUUUUGAGACAGAGUCUCACUCUGUUGCCCAGGCUGGAGUGCAGUGACAUUAUCUCAGCUCACUGCAGCUUCCACCUCCCAGGCUCAAGCAAUCCUCCCACCUCAGCCUCUCCAAUAGCUGGGACCACAGGUGCGCACCACCACACCCAGCUAAUUUUUGUAUUUUUUUGUAGAGACAGGGUCUCACUUUGUUGUCCAGGCUGGUCUCCAACUCCUGAGCUCAAGGGAUCCUCCCGCCUUGGCCUCCAUAAGUGCUGGGAUUACAGGUGUAAGCCGCUACUUCCUGUCGUCUACUCUCUGUAUUUUGCAAAUAAAACGUUUGCAGGUCAUGUCAAACAUCAAGUGAUUGAUCUGUGGGGACGCAGGCGCCUUCCUCAGAGCCCCUCCCUCCCCUGCUUCUGCCCCAGCCAGCCUUGUGCAUCUGCAGAUACCGAGGCUGCUCAGGGGCGCUCUGCUGUCCACUGAGUGCGAGGAGUCUCAGGCGCUGCAGGGACCCGGGUGCUGCCACACGGGUGGACAGCCCAUGGUGGCCGGUUGGAGGCCUCUAGCACAGACCCUGCACACCUGGAGGCUUCUGCUGGCAAAGCCCUGGGACCUAAGACCAGAUGCCCAGGGCUAUGGCCCACUUGGGAUGACACACAGGGUCCCCAGAUGUGUGCAUCUACCCCAGUGACCCCCUUUUUGGGAUGCUUGUGUCUGUUCUGGGGCUGCUCUGGGCCCCAGGGGUUGGGGGUGGG